UACGUAGGGAGCAAGCGUUGUUCGGAAUUACUGGGCGUAAAGGGCGCGUAGGCGGCCUUCUAAGUCAGACGUGAAAUCCCUCGGCUCAACCGGGGAACUGCGUCUGAGACUGGAAGGCUUGAAUCCGGGAGAGGGAUGUGGAAUUCCAGGUGUAGCGGUGAAAUGCGUAGAUAUCUGGAGGAACACCGGUGGCGAAGGCGGCAUCCUGGACCGGCAUUGACGCUGAGGCGCGAAAGCUAGGGGAGCAAACGGGG
rnacentral:rRNA from 1 species